AUGGACGCAGAGGCCGGGGAGAACGCUGGUGAAGCGGAACGGAUAACAGAUGGCGAUUGGACUGGCACACACACACUGCCAAUGAUCUCCGAACAGAGACUGGAUCGUGUGUUCUCAUCAAACCAUGACAGGCCUGCGGAUGCGCCGGAGCUUGACCAUGGCCUAGACCCAGGGAACUUCGUUGUUUACUUGGUAAACACAAUCGACCGCUCUGUGGUGAGGGUAAUCCAGAGCGGGUAUGAUUUCUCCAGGCACGUGAACCAUCCAGUCUUCAGUCCAGAUGGGCAGAGCAUCGCUCUGACAUCGGACCUCACUGCGGUGUCCGCUAACCCAAUGUCGCCUCCAAUCUUCUUGCACUCGCUGAGGCCCUACUGUGACAUCUUCACCGUUGAUAUCGACCCUGACGACAUGGAGGAGAACCAGGAUGUGGAGAAGUUUGCCCGCGUCACGCAUAACAGAUACGAGAACUCCACUCCUGCCUGGUCCGUGUUCUCGACUCAUGACCCGCAUGCACAGUGGAACCUCCUGGUCAUGGAGGAAAGUUACACCUUGUCGUGCCCGUAUGCAAAUUGA
rnacentral:rRNA from 1 species